AGGUGAAUUGGAAGCCCAGUUAUCAGGCAGGAGUUGGAAAAGUCAGAAUAUGACAUAUGCCGGGUAGCCCCUAUGAAGAAGAAUCCAGAGCUGGAAGAGUUUUUUCUUCCUCACUCUGUGCUGAGCCAAGGGAAAUAGUUGCUCUGAAUGCUUCUCUGUCCAAGUAAAACAGCCUUUGUUUUUAGUGGUCCCAGGGACUCAUGAAGGCUGAGCCCUUUCAGCUCCCAGAGCUAGGUGAAUUGGGGGCUAGUCCCUUAGGUGGCAGUUGAAAACUGGUGUGCUAGAGGUGUGGACAAGCUCCUUUCAGGAGAGAAGAUAAAAAUUUGGUCUUACUUGGAGCUGGGAGAGAUAGCAGGGGACAUGUCCACCAGGUUUACCAGGCUCACAAAAGGAUCCCAGUGAGCUUCCACAUGCUGACUAACUGGAAGCCAGAACCACAGGCAGCAGCUAGGAAAAUAUACAACUUCCUUCCAGGGAGAAACUGGGAGAUGGGCAUUAUUUUGUCAUCUCCCUCCAUGCUGGGUCUGGGUGUAUAGCUACAGGGAAUCCUCAUGCAUCCAUUUAAAAACUGCUUCUUUGUUUGCUAUAGUACUGUGGUGCUCAGGAAUGCAAGCCCAGUUGACUUUCAGAGGCAGGUUAUUUUGGGGUCCAUCCCUCAGGUGGCAGUUUUAAAAGUCAGGGUUCUAAAUGUGUAGACAAGCUCCCUCCAGGGACAUGCAGGAGAUUUGGCUUUAUUGUUGAAGGAAGCUGGGGGGAGAGAGCAGGGUAAGUACCCACUGGCUCUUUGGGGCUCUAGGCAGGAUUCCAGUCAGCUGAAAUGCAAGCUGAUUAGAAGCUGGGCCCUCAGACAGUAGCUGGCAAAGUAUGUAGUCCAACACCCUCCAGGAAGAAAUUGGGAGAUAAGCAUUUGUGUGUGUUCCCUCUGCUCUGAGCUUGGGGAGAUAGCCAGAGGGAGUGCUCAAGCACCUUGUAAAAACUGCUUAUUUGUUUGCUCUAAUACCAUGGGACUUGUGAAGGGAAGCCCGUUUGGCUCUCAGAGCUAGAUGAUUUGGGGGCCCAUCCCUCAGGCGGCAGCCUUAAAAUUUGGGACAUUAGAAAUGUGGUGCAAACAGUGCGCUAAUUGGGAAGAGGCUAGGAGUUGGUGGUUUCAGAAAGAUUAUAAGGCGCUGUUCUUGGGUGGGGUUUAUAGUAAGAGUGUGUCUCAUCCUUUCCUACACAUUUCCUUGUGGGUAUUUUCUCAGUUUCCCAAUGUGUAGGAGUCACUAAAGUUAGUUUCUUGAUAUCUUUCAGAGGGAAUUGAUCUGUGUGUAGCUGUAUAUUCAGUGCAUCCAUGGAAGGAGGGAAAUUCAGGAGUCUCUUCUGUGUCCAUCUUGAGAUUCGUUAAGUGAGAUGAGAGGAAGGCUCAUCUUUGGUCUAUCUUAUACUGAACCAAGGGCCAGCCAUGACCAAGCACCUCCACCUAAGGGAGCAGCACCCAUUUCGUCAGGACUUUCUGCCAGCUGAAUCUUCAGUCCUCUGCACCUUCCUAAACGCUACAGAAGAUGAACAUAUCUGAGGUCAGCUCUCUAUUCAUUUCCCACUUUGUGGUGUGAUGGAUUUAACUCUUGAUUUCAGAUUGCUCUCAGCCUGUUUUAUACAUUCUUUAUCAAUGUAAGUUAUUUUCCUUUUAGGAUUAGUUUGCUAAGAUUUUACUUGAGUCAGGAAUGUACACUCUUGAGUUAUAUUGAAUAGCUUUUUGUAUGUAUUGUAGUAAAGGUAUAGCUUAUUUUCUUUAAUCUGCAAAUUUUCGAGGUAGCUGAAAUGGAUUUUAGAAUGGUAACUUACUCUUGAAUUCUUGUAUGGAUGCUACUUGCUAAUGGGUUCUAGUUUUUUGGUUUUGAUUUUACAUACUAAAUAGUGUGAUUUGUAAAUAAGCAUAUUUUUUUUAUCUCUUUCUAUCUCUGUGCACUUUAAUUUCUUUUUCAGUCAGGCUGGGAUUUAAUGUGAAAGAAUUCAUUUAUUCACUGCUAAGUAUGAUGUUAGUCAUAUGCCUUAAAUAGCUUCUCAUUGUCAGAUCUUUUCUUUUCCUCCUAUUCCUAGUGCUAUAAAAUUAGUGUCAUUUCUUCCUUAAAAAUUCACUCUAGAAUUCACUACAGAAACAAUGUGGACCUGAAGUUUACUUUGUCAGAAUUUUUUUUUUUAAAUAACAAUUUUAUUGAGGUACAAUUCUUGUACCAAAAAUUCACCCUUUUAAUUUGUGCAGUGCAGUGCUUUUUUUAAAAUAUGUUCACAGAGAUGUGGAAUUAUCACCACUCUUUAAUUUUAGAAUAAUUUCAUCACCCUCAAAAGAAACCCUGUACUCUUUAGUAGUCACUCUCCAUUCCUGCUCCCAAGCUCCUAGGAACUACUAAUCUACUCCGUGUCUUUAGAGAUUUGCUUAUUUUGGAGGUUUCCUAUAAAUGGAAUCACAAAAUAUGUACCCUUUGGUGAAUGGCUUCUUUCAUUUAGCAUGACCUUUUUAAGGUUCAUCACUGUUGUAAUACGCAUCAGUAAUCCAGUUCAGUUUCUGGCCAAGCUAAUAUUUAGUUGUAUGGAUAUAUCACAUUUUGUUUAUCAGUUUAUCAGUUGAUAGACAUUUGUUGUUUCUGUUUUGACUGUUAUGACUGUUUUGACUGUUAUGAGCAGUUGUGUAAACAUUUUUGUGUGUACCCAGUUUUCCAAUCUACUUUGUAUAUACUUAGAAUGGAAUUACUGGGCGAUAAGGUAACUGUUCAACAAAUUUAGAAACUGCCAGAACAAUUUUCCAAGGCAGUGGAACUAUUUUACCACCCCAUCAGCAAUGAAUGAGGGUUACAGUUUUCCCACAACUACCAUUAGUCAUUGUUAUUGUCUGUCUUUUUUUUAAAAGCCCUCCUGGUGAAUGUGAAGUGGGAUUUUAUUAUGGUCAUGAUUUGCAUCUCCCUAAUGUUGAGCAUCUUUUCGUGUUCUAAUUUUUUAUUGGCUGUUUGUAUAUAUUCCUUGGAGAAAUGUCUGUUCACAUUCAUUCUCCGUUAAUAAAUUGGGUUAUUUGUCA